GUGCCAGCCGCCGCGGUAAUUCCAGCUCCAAUAGCGUAUAUUAAAGUUGUUGCAGUUAAAAAGCUCGUAGUUGGAUCUCGGGUACUAGCAUGUGGUACGCUUAAUUGCUGUUACUGCAUGUCUAGUCCUAAUCAAUCGGUUGGCCGUUUAUGCCCUUUAUUGGGUGUUUUCGGUAGCCGAUACGUUUACUUUGAGAAAAUUAGAGUGCUUAAAGCAGGCUUUACGCCUGAAUAAUGUUGCAUGGAAUAAUAGAAUAGGACCUCGGUUCUAUUUUGUUGGUUUUGUAGAGCAUUGAGGUAAUGAUUAAUAGGGACAGACGGGGGCAUUCGUAUUGCGGUGUUAGAGGUGAAAUUCUUGGAUCGCCGCAAGACGAACAACUGCGAAAGCAUUUGCCAAGAAUGUUUUCAUUAAUCAAGAGCGAAAGUUGGAGGUUCGAAGACGAUUAGAUACCGUCCUAGUUCCAACCAUAAACGAUGCCAACUAGCGAUUAGCUGCUGUUAAUUAAACGACACAGCUAGCAGCUUCCGGGAAACCAAAGUUUUUGGGUUCCGGGGGAAGUAUGGUUGCAAAGCUGAAACUUAAAGGAAUUGACGGAAGGGCACCACCAGGAGUGGAGCCUGCGGCUUAAUUUGACUCAACACGGGAAAUCUCACCCGGCCCGGACACUGUAAGGAUUGACAGAUUGAGAGCUCUUUCUUGAUUCGGUGGGUGGUGGUGCAUGGCCGUUCUUAGUUGGUGGAGCGAUUUGUCUGGUUAAUUCCGAUAACGAACGAGACUCUAGCCUGCUAAAUAGUACGCCGAUCUUUAGUCGGCGCGUACUUCUUAGAGGGACAAGUAGCGGUUAGCUACAUGAAAAAGAGCAAUAACAGGUCUGUGAUGCCCUUAGAUGUUCGGGGCCGCACGCGCGCUACACUGAAGGGAUAAGCGUGUUCUUCCUGCUCCGAAAGGAGUGGGUAACCCGCUGAAACCCCUUCGUGAUUGGGAUCGGGGCUUGAAAUUAUUCUCCGUGAACGAGGAAUUCCCAGUAAGCGCGAGUCAUAAGCUCGCGUUGAUUACGUCCCUGCCCUUUGUACACACCGCCCGUC
rnacentral:rRNA from 1 species